rnacentral:tmRNA from 1 species
GGGGCCGACCUGGUUUCGACGUGGGCAACAAAGCAGAACCGUGCAUACCGAGGCGUGGCUACCUCGUAAAUACACCCACAAACCAAAUAGUCGCAAACGACGAAAACUACGCACUCGCUGCUUAAACACCAGUGAUGCGCUCUGCACCAGUGGGCCUCAACGCUGGGUGUCGCUGUACUUGUACAGUGUCACGGCAGAGUCAUUAACGAGGCUCGCCUUGCACCGGGUCACUUGAUGCAAGGUUAAAUUUAGGUGACCCGCUGCUCCAGAGCCUGCCCACCGGCGCCGGAGCGGUCAGAAUCAAAAGAGGGGAUCUAAGUAUGUAGAGCGGCCUGCGGAGGGCUUGCGGACGGCGGUUCGAUUCCGCCCGGCUCCACCA